AAUUUUGGAGGUUUGUAUUUAAAACCAAGUGCAGGUACCCUUUAAGAACUUGUGCAAGUCCGUGUUAAAAGAAGCAUUCUGUGAAGCACACAAGGCUCUCCACACACUGUGGAACAGGCACUAGUCAGGUGAAAUUGAAGCAGGAUUUGCAAAGCAGGAUUUCACUUUAUGCCUGGGAUGAACUUGUCAAAUCCUGUCAACGCAACACUCGCAACACGCCCAACACGCCAGAGAGAGAGAGACGUAUUAAAGCCAGGCAUGUUCUCAGCUUGACCAAACUGUAAGGUACUGUGCACCACUACAGUCAAUCUACAUCUAGCAUCUGCCAUGCAUACAAUCACCUCUGUUUGCAAUAGAGGAAGGGGCACACAGCAAGCACGUGCCAGUCUCCACAAACCUGAGCAAAAGGAGUGCACACACCCCUCAGUUUGAGUGCACGGUUAAAACAGUAACAACUGCAGUGUUGACAUUGAGGAAAAUGUCAUGUCAUGUCUGGGCUACCCAGCAAGGCCGUUUGAGCUAAAGUUUUGAGCCGAGGUAUCUGGACGAAAUUCCUCGGCACACUGGACCCAAUCAAUUCCGAGAAAUGCGCAUCACGGCUAAUCAGCUUCGAGCAGUGCAUCUUCCCAAGAUGAAUCUCUCCCUGCUUCAUGGAGUCACAUUCCUCAGGUCAGCGACUCCUCACCAGCGCUUCCGGAAGAGGUCGUCAUUCGACCGACCCACAUCUACAGUUCCAAAGAUCGACAUAUACAUGUAUCUGGACAUUAAACUGAAACCUCUUGGCAACUGGAUGGCAAGGAGUAACGGGGAAAUUCCAAAGCACAAAAUCAGAUGUGCUCGUGUCCAAAACUAACCAUAAUGUACCAACUGCCGCCACUGUAGGCUGUAUUCAUGUGUAGCCAGGGUGAUCCAUUGAUCAAUAGCAAAACAGAAUAUGCAUACAUGUUCGUGCUUAUGCGGGUAAUUCCAGAA